rnacentral:piRNA from 1 species
UACUUCCUGUAGAAUGAAGGUGUUCUAUCC